CGGGGCAUAGCGCAGUCCGGUAGCGCACCUGCUUUGGGAGCAGGGGGUCGUGGGUUCGAAUCCCGCUACCCCGA
rnacentral:tRNA from 1 species